rnacentral:rRNA from 1 species
GAUGAACGCUAGCGGCAGGCUAAACACAUACAAGUCGAGGGGUAUAGUUCUUCGGAACUAGAGACCGGCGCACGGGUGCGUAACGCGUAUGCAAUCUACCUUUUACAGGGGGAUAGCCCAGAGAAAUUUGGAUUAAUACCCCAUAGUAUGUUAGAGUGGCAUCAUUUUAACAUUAAAGUUCCAACGGUAAAAGAUGAGCAUGCGUCCCAUUAGCUAGAUGGUAAGGUAACGGCUUACCAUGGCGACGAUGGGUAGGGGUCCUGAGAGGGAGAUCCCCCACACUGGUACUGAGACACGGACCAGACUCCUACGGGAGGCAGCAGUGAGGAAUAUUGGACAAUGGGCGCAAGCCUGAUCCAGCCAUGCCGCGUGCAGGAAGACGGUCCUAUGGAUUGUAAACUGCUUUUGUACAGGAAGAAACACUCCCUCGUGAGGGAGCUUGACGGUACUGUAAGAAUAAGGAUCGGCUAACUCCGUGCCAGCAGCCGCAGUAAUAC